rnacentral:sRNA from 1 species
GGUCGGGGAGGGGCCAGAAGGGGGCGUCCAGCCAGUUCCUCCUCCCGCUUCCACCGCCCGCCAGUGCGCCCUGCGGCCCCAGACUUCCCCGAGCCGCGCUCCUCCCGGCCGCUCUCUGCUAACCUGCCCCCGUCUUACCUCCCCUUCUUCUCGUCCCCUCAUCCUGAGCCCCAGACAUCCGAGCUGCCUGCCGGGGCUCCCAGCCUAGAGCUCUCCGCGAGCUGACCGAGGGUCUCCACCGCCCCCCACCCCCGCUCCUCUAUCCCCUCCCCAGAGCACCAAUUUUGCGGGGGGCGGCUGGAGAAGGCCCAGGGAACCCUGACCACGCCCAACUGGCCCGAGUCCGAUUACCCCCCGGGCAUCAGCUGUUCCUGGCACAUCAUCGCGCCCCCGGACCAGGGUCCCAUGGGUGUGUGUGGUCCUCCGUGCUGUGGUGUGAACGCCUUC